GUCCCUUCAGGGACAUCCAAUAUAAUUAUAAACAAUACAUUGAAUAUUAGCAUGGCCCCUGCUCAGGAUGUUACCCAAAAAAAUGGCUUGUACACCAAAACA
rfam:Capsicum annuum cultivar Zunla-1 chromosome 6, whole genome shotgun sequence